rnacentral:lncRNA from 1 species
CUCCGGGUUUAUUUAAAGAGCCCUUUCUUGGCAGCAGGGCAGCAGCCCCCCUCGAGGACGGGAGAUUAGCCGGUAUGGCAAGAAUGCUUUGAUCUGAAUAUUACAGGAUGGAAAAUGAAUCGGGACUGGGAGGUGAUGAGCCAGGGGAGGAAGUGGUGGGCAGCUUCGCCCUGGGUUGCAUGGAAUACAAGUAGAUUGCUCAGACUGGAAUUUCUGAUGCUGUUCACACCUCCCAGCAUGAACCUGAUACCAGACCGGUUUAUAUCAAGAAUACAAACUCUGCGCUCAGGCAAUAUUAUGCAUUAUUCCGUCAGUGCAGCUGUAAGCACCAUAGGAAUGAAGAGGAUCAAAAUGGCAAUUAAUGCUACACUUCUAAGAAUGCCUGUCUUAGUUUCUGAAGUUUGUACUACACUCUCACUUGGCACAGCUCUGCAUUCAACACCUUUCCUUCCCAGGUUGACCACAUCUUUCUGUAAUCUCCUGCCUCCUACUUGCUUCAGUGAAGCCCUAAUCCAGCUCAGCUAUCACCCUGCACAAACAAGCAGCUCUCCAGCUGAUCUCUUUGGCUCAGAGUGAGACUUUUUAGCUGUUCGUCCUCUUCUUCCUCUGCUUCCAUUUGCUCUCCUUUCAGUCUGACUUGCACUAAGGUCUGUUCUUCCCCCAGGGCUCUCUACUUCUGCUGAUGUUCUGGGUCCAUCACAAGGUCUUCGCAAACCUGGCAGUUUCUGCUAGACUAACAGCUGUCUUCAUACUCCCAUAGCUCUGGGGCUUCCUGGAGUCAGAAGCACAUCACAAAGCAAUGAAUUUCAUGACUCCCAUGUGAAAAAAUUACUGGCUUAAAUGAAGUUAGAAGAAACCUUCUGGUCCAGAGGAUGCAAGCCAACCUGCUGGGGUCCCACAGCUGAGCUGCUAAAAUUUGGCCAAAGACAAAUAAAUUCUAUAGGAGAUGGGACAUACUUGAGGUGUGGCAGAGCAGUAAGUUAUUGCUCCACACCUACUGAGUUUUCAGAAUGUCCAAAUGUCUCAGCUGAGCUGCAAGUGGUUGCUUCUUGUUUUUGGCUGGCCUCAGUUCCUCAGAGCAUUGGAAGGAGGAGAUGCAGACACAAGAAGUGUUUCCAUCACAGAAAAAGCUGAACUACAUAAUGUCUGAAACGAUGGCUGGCGGCGUCCAGGCUUGUCUGUGUACCUAUUUGGGGAGCUGGAGAACAGCUCUGGAGGCACUUACGUGAGUCCGGAGUGUCCUUUAGGCGGCUCACUUGGAAGACAAUAAAACUGAUAUUUAGCAGAUUGCUGUCUCACACCUGAAUCGCCAGGAAGGGGUACAACAGCCUUCCCAAGAUGAAAUCCUUUGGUGAGAAAAGGAGCAAACUACAGUGAUGGAGAAAUAACUGUAACCAACCCAAAGGAUUAGGAGACAACCAAUUGCUGUCUCUACAAUACUAGAAAGUGCCUAAGUUCAUAGACCUUCAUUCUUUCCGUGCCAUUAUUCCUUUGUCAUCUUCUUAAUCUGCACAUGGUUGUUCUGUAUGUCUUUGGGUAUACUAGAAAUACAAAAAAUACAAGAAAAUUUCAAAAAGAGGAAAGCCCUCUAAAUUAAUCCAUCUCACCCAAACAACUUUACUUUACCUUUAUAUUGUUUGUAAAAUUUUAAGAAAUACUCAAUGGAAAAAGCUGUAAAGAUACCUUUUCUGCAAGCAUAGCUAAAAUCAUCAACAGACGCUUCCAUCAGAAUUACUAAUGUUUAAAUUCUGUGACUUUCUGCCGUAGCUACUAAAUCCUGCAGCCAUCACAAACACCUCUGUGCUGACCUCGUGAUUCUCAGGACUCCACAAGCUGUAGGAAGAAACUUUUGUGAAUAAAGGCUACAUACUCUGGAAAAUCUGGAAGAGUUUCAUACAGAAUACCACUGAUCACAGAUUUCCUGCAUUACCAGUCCAUGGGUGGAAAAGCACUGGUUAAAGAGAGCUUUCUCUCAAAUCAAUGGGAGCACUUCAAGCAUGCUUCCUAUUUCUGCAAAUGACGCAGGAAAGAAGAGUGCAUUUACUGUGCUUUUGGCAGACUUGCAGGGAUUCCUUUGAGUGGCCUCAGUGGUACUGGAAUUCUCUAGAGAGAUGAUCCUCACUGGAUUUCCAAACCCUUUAACUUGGGAAACAGUUUGACCUAAGAAGACCUCUGCUAAUUCAAGGGACAGAUGCAAGAUGGAAAGGAAUAACUACGAUUUUCCAGAAGUUUCAGUAAACAAGAAGCUUGUUGGAGGACUGGCCUUCUAAAAAUGUGGUGAGCUGCUUUCCUUGUACACUGAAGGACCUACAGAACACAG